UAGGGAAUCUUGCGCAAUGAGGGAAACCUUGACGCAGCGACGCCGCGUGCGGGAUGAAGGCCUUCGGGUUGUAAACCGCUUUCAGCAGGGACGAAAUUGACGGUACCUGCAGAAGAAGGACCGGCCAACUACGUGCCAGCAGCCGCGGUAAUACGUAGGGUCCUAGCGUUGUCCGGAUUUAUUGGGCGUAAAGAGCUCGUAGGCGGUUCGGCAAGUCGGAUGUGAAAUCUCCACGCUUAACGUGGAGGGGCCAUUCGAAACUGCCGUGACUCGAGUCCGGUAGGGGAGUGUGGAAUUCCCGGUGUAGCGGUGAAAUGCGCAGAUAUCGGGAGGAACACCAGUAGCGAAGGCGGCACUCUGGGCCGGUACUGACGCUGAGGAGCGAAAGCGUGGGGAGCAAACAG
rnacentral:rRNA from 1 species